UAUGCUUCGUUGAUAAGGAGAAGUACAUAUAUUUUUGAAAUAAAGAGAGAGAAUGGUUGGUGGAAAUUCUCAUGAUUUAUAUAUGGAAAGUAGCCUUGGAGAAUUUAAUAGAAAUCAUUUUGAGAGUAGAAUUAAACGGAAUGUCUACCGUUAUAAAGACAAUGAUAUAAGCUUUUGCUUGUAUCAUAAUUAAAGAGUGUAUUUAAUAUACAAAAUUAGGUGGUACCGCGGUGAGUUGCUCUUCGUCCUAAAU
rnacentral:ncRNA from 1 species